UACGUAGGGGGCGAGCGUUGUCCGGAGUUACUGGGCGUAAAGGGCAUGCAGGCGGUCGGACGCGUUUCGGGUGACAGCGGGUGGCUUAACUACCCGAGUGGUCGAAAGACGGUUUGACUUGAGGACGCGAGAGGGACACGGAAUUCCGGGUGGAGUGGUGAAAUGCGUAGAGAUCCGGAGGAACACCGAAGGCGAAGGCAGUGUCCUGGCCUGUUCUUGACGCUGAGGCGCGAAAGCUAGGGGAGCAAACGGG
rnacentral:rRNA from 1 species